GGCGUGCUAACACAUGCAAGUCGAGCGGUAACAGGUCUAGUUUACUAGAUGCUGACGAGCGGCGGACGGCUGAGUAACGCGUGGGAACGUGCCCCAAAGUGAGGGAUAAGCAUCGGAAACGGUGUCUAAUACCGCAUAUGGUCUUCGGAUUAAAGGAUUUAUCCGCUUUGGGAGCGGCCCCCGUUAGAUUAGGUAGUUGGUAGGGUAAUGGCCUACCAAGCCUACGAUCUAUAACUGGUCUGAGAGGAUGAUCAGUCAGACUGGAACUGAGACACGGUCCAGACUCCUACGGGAGGCAGCAGUGAGGAAUCUUCCACAAUGGGCGAAAGCCUGAUGGAGCAACGCCGCGUGAAGGAUGAAGGCCCUAGGGUCGUAAACUUCUUUUAUAAGUGAAGAAUAUGACGGUAACUUAUGAAUAAGCACCGGCUAACUACGU
rnacentral:rRNA from 1 species